ACCCGCUGAAUUUAAGCAUAUAAGUAAGUGGUGGAAAUUAAACCAAAUGGGAUUCCUUAAGUAAUUGCGAAUGAACAAGGACAUGCUCAGCUUGACAAAUGGAGCCUUUGGCUUCGACUUGUAUUUUUGAAAUGUAUUACCAACAGAGGUGCAGGUGUCAGCCUAUUGAAAGAAAGCGUCAAUGAGGGUGAGAAUCCUGUUUGUCAUGUGCAAUCCUCUGUGCACGGUGUAUGUUUGCUGAGUCACACUCCUUGGCAUUGGAAUGCAAAGUGGGUGGUAAGUUUCAUGUAAAGGUAAAUAUAGGAUUGAGACUGAUAGCACACAAGUACCUGAGGGAAAUAUGAAAAGGACUUUGAAAAGAGAAUUAAAUGAGUUUGUAUUUGCUGAACAGAAAGUAAACAGACUUGAUUUUGCUGGGUGAGAUUGUGGUGCUUGCUUGACAAUGGGUGUUGGCUGUGGGUGCGAUGAUUCUUUCUUUGCGUGCCAGUUUCUAUUUGUACAUUUGAUUACCCUUGCACAUGAAUGGUAAUUUUCCUGCGGGGUUUGGAUUGCAUGUGUUUGUGAUGAUUUGUGUUUUGAUGCAUGUGUCUGGUGCAUUGUGUUGGUGCUCACUUCCUUGAGGGGGUUCUCCUCUUUGAGCCUUCAAGCCCUGACACACACUUGCUGGCAAAAUGCUUCUGCUUGUCCCGUCUUGAAACACGGACCAAGGAGUCUAACAGAUGUGCAAGCUUGAGGGUUGCAUACCUUUGUGCGCAAUGAAAGUGUUGACUGGGAUAUUUGCACCAGCAGCCGACCGAUUAGCAGACAGAGGUUCGAGUUGGAGCAUAUCUAUUAGGACCCGAAAGAUGGUGAACUAUGCCUGAACAGAAUGAAUUCAGAGGAAACUCUGAUGGAGGUUCGUAUCGAUACUGACGUGCAAAUCGUUCGU
rnacentral:rRNA from 1 species